AAAGAUCUGAGGUAUACGUAAGCUUUAGUUUUGAACCUACGUUAUGUAAACGGAAGUUCAAUAUUUAGAUGGGUACAUGAAGCCUACUUAUAAUUGUAAUUGAAAGUUUAGGAGGAUGGAGACAUCUGUGAGGACAUCCACCUAUUUUGGGAUAGGUGUCAAAGUAAAGUUAAACGGUAUUUUGGAUAAAAU
rnacentral:other from 1 species